rnacentral:rRNA from 1 species
GACGAACGCUGGCGGCGUGCCUAAUACAUGCAAGUCGAACGCAGUGGGGACGGGUGAGUAACACGUGGGUAACCUCCCAUCAGAGGGGAUAACACUUGGAAACAGGUGCUAAACCGAUAUUGAAGGAUGGACCCGCGGGGAAUUAGCUAGUUGGUGAGGUAACGGCCCACCAAGGCCACGAUGCAUAGCCGAGCUGGAGGGGUGAUCGGGCAAACUGGGAAUGAGACACGGCCCAGACUCCUACGGGGAGCAGCAGUAGGGGAUCUUCGGCAAUGGGGGAAAGGCUGACCGAGCAACGGCGCGUGAGUGAAGAAGGGUUUCGGAUCGUAAAACUCUGUUGUGAGAGGAGCGGUAUCUAACCAGAAAACCACGGCUAACUACCGGCCAGCCGCCGCGGUAAUUC